AACUGCGAAUGGCUCAUUAAAUCAGUUAUCGUUUAUUUGAUAGUACCUUACUACAUGGAUACCUGUGGUAAUUCUAGAGCUAAUACAUGCUAAAAACCUCGACUUCGGAAGGGGUGUAUUUAUUAGAUAAAAAACCAACGCCCUUCGGGGCUCCUUGGUGAUUCAUAAUAACUUAACGAAUCGCAUGGCCUUGCGCCGGCGAUGGUUCAUUCAAAUUUCUGCCCUAUCAACUUUCGAUGGUAGGAUAGUGGCCUACCAUGGUGGCAACGGGUAACGGGGAAUUAGGGUUCGAUUCCGGAGAGGGAGCCUGAGAAACGGCUACCACAUCCAAGGAAGGCAGCAGGCGCGCAAAUUACCCAAUCCCGAUACGGGGAGGUAGUGACAAUAAAUACUGAUACGGGGCUCUUUUGGGUCUCGUAAUUGGAAUGAGUACAAUCUAAAUCCCUUAACGAGGAACAAUUGGAGGGCAAGUCUGGUGCCAGCAGCCGCGGUAAUUCCAGCUCCAAUAGCGUAUAUUAAAGUUGUUGCAGUUAAAAAGCUCGUAGUUGAACCUUGGGUCUGGCUGGCCGGUCCGCCUCACCGCGAGUACUGGUCCGGCUGGACCUUUCCUUCUGGGGAACCUCAUGGCCUUCACUGGCUGUGGGGGGAACCAGGACUUUUACUGUGAAAAAAUUAGAGUGUUCAAAGCAGGCCUUUGCUCGAAUACAUUAGCAUGGAAUAAUAGAAUAGGACGUGUGGUUCUAUUUUGUUGGUUUCUAGGACCGCCGUAAUGAUUAAUAGGGAUAGUCGGGGGCGUCAGUAUUCAGCUGUCAGAGGUGAAAUUCUUGGAUUUGCUGAAGACUAACUACUGCGAAAGCAUUCGCCAAGGAUGUUUUCAUUAAUCAGGGAACGAAAGUUAGGGGAUCGAAGACGAUCAGAUACCGUCGUAGUCUUAACCAUAAACUAUGCCGACUAGGGAUCGGACGGUGUUCUUAUUAUGACCCGUUCGGCACCUUACGAGAAAUCAAAGUUU
rnacentral:rRNA from 1 species